AGCCUAGCCUUCCAAAAUCUUCUUCGCCAACGAGGAGUAUGUCGCGUUGCCGCCGGAGAGUCUGUAGCGUUGCCGGCUAAGAGUCCGCAACUUUGCUGCAUCUUCAAUUUCAGUUUCGCUUCUAGUGCGCGUUCUUCCUACGGCAUCUCUCUCGGCACGCACUCUUCAUCAACUGUCGCACCUUCUGUCACCUUUUUGUUUAGAAUUGGUCUUGGGUAAAGAAGGUUUGUAGCCGUGGAUGGCAUCUUCAAACUCUAGGUCUCCACCGAUGCUUGGAAGGGACAAAUAUCGCAGGUGCUGGAACUUCUCUUUUAUCUUUGCGGCGCUACUGGUUGGCAAAUGAGUUUGAUUCAAUUUCUGGAGGAAAUAAUUUAUUUCAACUUCUGAAAUUAACAAAAAAAAAAAAAAAAGGGACUCGACAAACCAUGGAGAACCCUGACUCCCCUCGGCGCAUCCUCUCCCGGUGACUUCCCUGUACUCGGCGACCCGAGCCAAUGAAGGCCUCGAAAUUUUGAGAUUGCGACUAUGAGGAGGCGUUGCCCAGUGAGAUGGCCUGAAUCUAAGAUCGAUUUCUUCCCUUAGGUGUUCUCCCGCUCUUCUUUCCCCUUCUAUGCAAUUCGUUUUUCUACUGCGCCGGCUAUGCAGGACAUAUUACUUGGGAGCCUUGAGGGGUUUGGCGGAUAAAAACUUGGGGCUAACGGAAAAUCACAUUCAUCCACCAAUAUUUAGGAUACGCAGAACAUUUGUUGAAGCCAGCAUCCAAUGGCAUCAAGUAAAGUUGAUAUUGGUGGAAUUAUGAAGACUCAUGAAGGAGAUUCGUUUAGACAAGGAGCAAGUCUCAAAUGAAUAAUACAAUCAUAGAAGCUAUGAAAAUCUUGUUUUAGAAAAUUGCUUAUUUGAUGAUAAUUAGAGUCAAGUUAAUAUUUAUUAUCAGCUUUUAUAAAUGGCCUUUGAACUUCGGGCUUGAAAAUAUUUUUUGAAGUCUUGGUUUGAGGGUCUUGUACAUAGCGACACUAGAACGGGAAGAAGUUCAAUACCUUGUUGGGAUGAUUGUGGUUGUGUAUGGUUGUAUUUUCUUUACUAGUUUGCUUGUAAGAGCCAGUCUUAGCUUGGAACCUAUAUCAAAUUGAAUGAAUGAAGUUUGUUUACGCUUGUCACUAUUA